rnacentral:rRNA from 2 species
ACGUAGGUCCCGAGCGUUGUCCGGAUUUAUUGGGCGUAAAGGGAGCGCAGGCGGUUUAGUAAGUCUGAAGUUAAAGGCAUUGGCUCAACCAAUGUAUGCUUUGGAAACUGUUAGACUUGAGUGCAGAAGGGGAGAGUGGAAUUCCAUGUGUAGCGGUGAAAUGCGUAGAUAUAUGGAGGAACACCGGUGGCGAAAGCGGCUCUCUGGUCUGUCACUGACGCUGAGGCUCGAAAGCGUGGGUAGCGAACAG